UUUCUGAGAUGAACAAAACCAGCUCACUAGGACUGCCCAUGUGAACAUAUGAACAUCCAAGAAAC
ensembl:snoRNA predicted gene, 24633